GCAGAAAACUGCAAAUUCUAGAGGGCGUCGCCGACGGGCUCCAGAAAGUGAAUUUUUGGCUGACGGGUUAUUUGACUGUCUACGGGGAUUUUUGGCUACGGGUAAUUGCAAGGGCCGUCGCCGACGCCCUCCCCAAGUUCAAAAACCUAAAAAUUUGUUAUUUAAGUUGAUUUAUGUAUCGUAGGCUUCGGUUUGUUAUCCGUGGACUACGGUGAACUUUCCAAACAUGAUUUUGAUGGUUCCUUAGAUGUCUAUGGGCUAUAAAUCUAAGUCUAAGUCCCAUGUAAAUAUUGUAUGAUUAUAUAAGAAUGUAGGAAAGAUAUGUACGUAUGUGGUUGUGUAUGUAUGUAUGUGUAAAGACAUGUAUGAGUGUAUGCACGUAUGUAAAGUUGUAAGAAAGGUAUGUAUGUAUGUAGAGGAGUAUGUAUGCAUGUAAGAUGGUACGUGUGCAUGAUUUAAAUACGUAGAGUUUUAACGUUACUAAUUAUGCGUUUGAGGUUGGUAUGUAAUGCAGGAACGAGUACAUCGGAUUCUUACGAAAUUUAAGCCCAACACGGAAUAAGAGGAUGAGUGAUACACGGACUUCUUCUACUACUUAGGAAGUGAAGCGGACGUAGAUCGAGUCAAGAGCAAGGAUUGCACGGAUAGAUCGAUCAUAUAGUUGAAAUAUAUAACGUCUAGAAAUGUAAAUUUUAGUAUGAAUGUUGUGAAUUCUUUUAUAGAACGUUUAACAUUUUAGCUUUUGGAACCUUCUCGAAAGUAAUGUCGUUAAUAAGGAAAGAAAUUUUAAAGCUC